UCUCCGUUGGUGAACCAGCGGAGGGAUCAUUACCGAGUUAUCAACUCCCAAACCCCUGUGAACAUACCCAACGUUGCUUCGGCGGGACCGCCCCGGCGCCCUCGGCGUCCCGGAACCAGGCGCCCGCCGGAGGACCCAAACUCUUGUUUAAACCAUAGUGGCAUAUUCUGAGUCUCACAAGAAAAAUGAAUCAAAACUUUCAACAACGGAUCUCUUGGUUCUGGCAUCGAUGAGGAACGCAGC
rnacentral:misc_RNA from 1 species